GUAGAACAUUUUGUAGGUAUCGCUUCUCGGCCUUUUGGCUAAGAUCAAGUGUAGUAUCUGUUCUUAUCAGUUUAAUAUCUGAUACGUCCCCUACCCGGGGACCAUAUAUUAAAUUGAUUUUUGGAACUGGGAGAUGGAAAAGGGGCUUGCUCCGUCCACUCCACGCAUCGACCUGGUAUUGCAGUACCUCCAGGAACGGUGCACCCCCUCUUACUGUUAAUAUGAAUGAGUGCAUUUCGGAUCUCGCACCAAGCCGUUAACACGAUUGUUAGUCCUCGUUUAUUUAUUUAAUCGUUUUGGACUAACGAAUUGUUGUGGUUUGGGACAGUGUUGCCAUGUCUUUUUCAUUGAAACUGGUUAAACGUUAUCGAAAAAAGUUACGAGGCGAUAUUUAAUUGAUUCUAUGCGUUAUUUAGACCAUAUGAUGUUCAAGCUAACAUAACAUCAGUGCGUCAUUCGACCACAGAUUUGUAGCGCUAAUACCAAUCCGGAACCACUUCUAAAUGAAUCAAUUCCACAAUGCAAGAAGAACGAACACGCACGCGCACGCACACGCGAGCGCACGCGUGUGUGGUGAAUUGAAUGAAGACUUUCUUCAUUCUGAAGUAUGACUCUAAAUCAGUCAAAUCAGACUCAUCCCUUUAAAUGAGGGAGGUCAUUAAAUAUCAAACACAGAGCUGAAAUAGACUCUUACUGUUAAGAAGGCGACCAGAGGGCGCCGAACCUGCAUUGAGUUUUACUAAACUAGCUCACCUGCCGCAGCUCGCGCGCCGAGUGUUUUUCUUAAUUGGUAAAUUGGUUGCAUCUGGUGCGUUUCACUUAAGAGGGAACCGGACAGUAAAUUGGUGUUCUCCACUGUUUGGCAGUGUAGCGUCUCCCAAGCGCGGUUAAAGACUUUUUGAAGUAAAGAGGAGCAUCUCAUCUGGACCUGAUGUCUAUCAUGGAUAUUUAACUGCAGUUCUGUGAGUAUCCCAACUUCACCAUGAAGAUGAACUGCGAACUGUAAGUCAAUAGUUUCUCAUUACUCUUGGGCACAUUGCUGUAUUUUGGCUUCCUGGUGAGUUAACCCGUUAGCUGAAGGUUGAUCCGAGUAGUAAGGAUGUUUUAUUGGUUCAUGGGCUACUUAGGCGUUUGGUUUUUGUUGGUUUUAAUGGUUUGUUAAAACGGUUAAAGGUUCUAAGUUAUUGUUGUAAGCUGGAGUAAUGGGUUGGGUUCUGAUGUCUUCAGUCUUCUUUCCAGCUACUCUCGUGAGCCCUGCAUCAUCAUCACAUGAGUGUUUCUUUACUGAUGAGUGUGUGGUCUGAGUGAGCAGAGGUACAUACUGGGAUACAGAGCUGUCUGAAGUCUACAGGUCUGUAGACACGCCCCCUCAGGGGAAACUGAGUGUUUGAGAAACCGUCAUGACGUCGGUUACAUGGACUAGAAUGUUCUUCAAGAUGGAGACAGGGAUUCAGAAUGAGAAACACCAGGGGGAGAUGAGGGGGCUCCUCAUCUCAACGACUAAAACACAACUUCAGUCUGACACCGAGAACCAUGGAACACAUUCAACAGUCCCCUCCAGGCAUCGUGACUCCUCAGGAACAGUUUCAUUUCCAAGAAGGUCUUAUUUGGGGCCAUUCCAAGAUGGAUCCUGCUCCUCAAGAGCCACCCCCCUCCACUGGGUGGUCUUCUGAACAGAUGACCUCCUGCCUGUCCUCAGGCUGACUAAAGCUGCACCGUUCUGCAUCUGUGAAGGCCCCUCAUUCAGGAAACCACUUGACUACAAACACAUGACUUCAGAGACGUUGAAUCAACCUUGGACACAUUUUGGAGACGGCAAGCAUGAUCCAUCACCAAUGUGGGACGCCACUGAAGAAUGUUGUACAUAAUUUAUGUCUCUGGAGACGAUGAUGGUUCUGUUCUGGGUGUCCUGGCAGGAGUGCCGGGGUUGGAUGAUGGAAUGUUAUUUGGCAGGAGGUUUUUACCCUGCAUGAGUGUUGGGCCUUUUAUGGCUCAGUGGUGUGUGGGUUUGACAUGAGAUGGAUGACUUUUUAGCAUCGCUAGGGUUCUAUGUGUGUGUCCCCCCCCUAACUCACACCUUGCAGGGGGUUCUACGUGUGUUUGGUUCCAUCUGGCAUGGGGUUCUACUUGUGUUUGGUUCCAUCUGGCAUGGGGUUCUACUUGUGUUUGGUUCUAUCUGGCAGGGGUUCUACUUGUGUUUGGUUCCAUCUGGCAGGGGUUCUACAUGUGUUUGGUUCUAUCUGGCAUGGGGUUCUACUUGUGUUUGGUUCUAUCUGGCAUGGGGUUCUACUUGUGUUUGGUUCUAUCUGGCAUGGGGUUCUACUUGUGUUUGGUUCUAUCUGGCAUGGGGUUCUACUUAUAUCUCUUGUAUUUCCACAACGAGACAGUGGGGGUUAUCUGAGCCAUGGUUGAGAAGGAAUUGGGGGAAAGGAAAUUUGGCUUUGACUCGCUGAAGUACAUGAACUGCGACAUGCCGCCGGUUGCCGCGAGGCACCGUCGCCCGGCAGCGGGCAGCCGGCAGCAGGCAGCGAGCGGUUCUACGUGCGUGUCCUGGGUUCUACGUGUGUGUCCUGCUUGCUUUGACAGUGAUAAUGUUCAUACGGGGGUCUGUGUGGUUGGCUUGGGGUAUUGGAAAGGUCAACUAAAUCAUACCUGAUGGACGGCCACAUGUUUACCUGAGGCCUUCAGUAGACAUGAAGAGCCCGGAGCGACGCUCCGGAGCGAGAUCCAACACACUGGGAAGGAAGGAGAGUAUCCAACUCAAGGGUAAAAGGAUGCAAGCGGCGUGUUCAGAUCAUGUACUUCAAACUAGGACUACACCAAUCAGGAUCAAUGGAGGAUGGACACCUAAAGGCAUUCCAAAAGGAGAGUCUGAAGUUGGAAAGGGACAUCAAUGGAUAUUCAAGAUGACCUUCAGACCUGGAGUGAGGCGGCUCUUCCUACCUGGCUGGAUUGAUGGAGAGCCCUGUGGAUCUUGUCUUGCGCUCGGUUGCAUGUCUUCUCAGGCUGAACUGUAUUUGUUUCGUACAGGACUAGCUGAACGAUUGGUUCCCUUAAAUCAGAACGAAUCUGGGAACUCCAACUAGUGCGCUCUUCAAGCUGCUCUUCAGCUGAGGAGGUAAGGAAACCUUCACUGGGGCUUCAAGGUGUAUAGAGGAGAACGUUUCAAAGUGUUCCAUGGUACUCUGAUGAAGACUGUUGUUGUGUUCCACAGGCUGAGAGGAAGAACCCUCACAUCUUCCUCUUGGCCUUUCUCCUCUGAGAAUCCUGGGGCCAUCUUGAAGGAUAUUCCAGCUCAUGUAACUGAUGUCACGACAGAUUCUCAAACACUUGGUUUCUCCUGAGGGGGCGUGUCUAUAGAACUGAAGACUUCAGACGGCACUGUAUCCCAGCAUGCAUCUCUGCUCACUCAGACCACACCCUCAUAAGUAGGAUGCAACACUCUUGCGAUUGAGAUGUAGAGUUUUAUAAGUAAUGAGGGAGUAGACAAAGGUGAUUAGAACACCAUGUCAAGUCUGUAACUCUUUAAACCAUGAAGAUGGUUGGAUAGUUCAGGAAUUGGGCUUCAUUUUAUUAUGGGCAGUCCUUUCACUCAGAUGCCCACUUCUCACUGGAGCUGUACAUGUGUUGGCUGGCUGGCAUGAUUUGCUGUUGGUGAUGAGGCAGUCAGGGUGAAGUUGCAGGGUUAUGGUCAGCUCAAUGUUUAGAUUUGGUCUGUAUGGGUUGUACCCUGAAUAAUCUAGAUAAUUGUUCUGUUUAUUGUAUAAUGUAGACACGGUUUUGCAUUGGAUAAUUCCAUUGUUUUUAGGCAAGGAUUUGAGGUUUAAAUUCGUGGACGUGCAUGGUAGUUCGGUUCUUCGUACGGUUUUGAGUGGUAUAACUUGUACACACUGGGUGCAUAAUAAUGUAAAGGUACACUGAAUAGUAGUUAUGACCAACGGCAUCAAACGGAUGGCAUCAAGGUAAGUCUGUUGGCUGUGUUUUAAUGAAGACCAUCGCUGGACUUCAGGAUCUUCCUCCGUUCAGCUCAAGGUGAGGCGCUGUUUUUUUUUUUUAUUUGGUCGGUUCCGGCUGGAAUGUUCGGAUUCCAGUCGGACGGUUUGUGCUUCCCGCCGUGGAAGGUUCUGAGUGUGGUCAGUUGAUUUAGACUCAAUGGUCAGCAUAGAACGUUGUAGUCUUGACAACCAUAAGAACCCUACGGGCAGUUAGUUGGAUGCGAGUCCCCUGAGGGAAUCUGGCGGAACGUUCUGGUUUGUGUUUGCGUAACAUAGAGCUGUUGCCAACGGAAACUAUUUUCGGUGUCCAUUGGGAAUUGUUGCCCCAUAUCUUCAACAACUUUAAGUUUGAUAUUAAAUACAUACUGAGACGUACGUCGUACAUUAUGUUGAUAAUUUCCGAUGGUUACGCCGUACUUUUAACCACGUUGACGGGACUCUCGCUGCGUACAGAAGAGCGUUCUACUUGCGGGCCCAUUUCUGACCAUCAGUGAAGGCUGAAAAUCAUUUCAAGGUGGAAGACAAUUUGGCAUUUCUUCAAGGGAACCCAGCACCUGAAUAAGGCUGAGUAUAUUUGAUUUCAUAUCGAUACUGCUUAGUGUUCUUUGGUACUUCAGCUUUUGUACGUUCUAAAUAUCUGGUGGCAUUAAUUGCCACAGAAGUUAAACCCUACCAAAUGGAAAGACGGUAAAAGGACGACUUUGGUGCUGAGUUACCAACUGGAUAAUAUCAAAGCUAAAAUAAUGGCCGUCUUUCCCACAUGUUGCAGUAGAAGAAACUCUAGAACUGUACAAGGUUAAAAAGGUAACAUGUAGUGUGUCCCAAGGUGUCUGCCUCCUCACCCAGAGCAAGACCUCCACCUCCUGACCCAGAGCCAGACCUCCACCUCCUGACCCAGAGCCAGACCUCCACCUCCUCAACCAGAGCCAGACCUCCACCUCCUCAACCAGAGCCAGACCUCCUCAACCAGAGCCAGACCUCCACCUCCUGUCAGAAGUCCUCCAGAACAGCUGAAAGGCGAGGCGGAGAGGCUGGUAACCGGAGGCUUGUGGUGCCAGGAUGGACCGGAGACUGAGGCUGGAGACCAGGGGCCUGCAGCACCGGACCAGAGGACCGGGAAUCCAUGGCUGAAGGAGCUGAUGGAGGAUCCGUGCUGAAGGCCCUGCCUGGUGGAGGAGCUGAUGGAGGCCCUGCCUGCUGGAGGAGCUGAUGGAGACCCUGCCUGGGGGAGGAGCUGAUGGAGGAGCCGUGCUGAAGGCCCUGCCUGGUGGAGGAGCUGAUGGAGACCCUGCCUGGUGGAGGAGCUGAUGGAGGCCCUGCCUGGUGGAGGAGCUGCCU